GAAAAUCAAUUUUCAAAUUUGGGUCUUAAUACUCCCAUAUUUGGGAUGCAUAAAUUUAUUACAAGUGAGUGCAGCCUCUGUUACAUGGUUUCUACGUAUUCAUUUAGAAGUCAAAGUGGCAAUAUGUAUUGUGUAUGCAUUGUUUGCUUUCACUGAACUUGGAAGGUUUUUAAACAAAAGAGAACAAUUCGGCCUGCUAUUGGAGAGUGGCUGUCAGGUUUCCAUACAAGACUUUGAUUUGCCCUUUGUCCUGCUAUUUGAAUUUGCCAGGUCAACAAGUGAACUACGCAAAUGAAUGUGACCCUCUUCUUUCUCUGAAAUGUUAAUGUGUAAGCUGAGUGCCAUCUAGAAGAAUUUUCAGCUAACUGAUGAGAACUUAUUCAAUGUAAACCAAGACGUGAUCUGUCUGACCUGAACAAACUUCUGUGAAGCACGAGACUAGCAAUUUAAAGAAUUUCAUUUUCAAUUAUCAUCCAUUACACCACUCUUAGCUAAGCCAGAUCUCUCAAGUUAGCUGCGAGGUUAAGCAUCUUGUGCAGCCCAAGACA
rnacentral:misc_RNA from 1 species